rnacentral:rRNA from 1 species
UACAGAGGUCUCAAGCGUUGUUCGGAUUCAUUGGGCGUAAAGGGUGCGUAGGCGGCGCGGUAAGUCGGGUGUGAAAUCUCGGGGCUUAACUCCGAAACUGCAUUCGAUACUGCCGUGCUUGAGGACUGGAGAGGAGACUGGAAUUUACGGUGUAGCGGUGAAAAUGCGUAGAUAUCGUAAGGAAGACCAGUGGCGAAGGCGGGGUCUCUGGACAGUUCCUGACGCUGAGGCACGAAGGUCAGGGGAGCAAACGGG